rnacentral:lncRNA from 1 species
UAGGCUGACUAAAAGAGAAAUCAAGGAUUAAUUGUAGGUUUUUACACUGAGCACUUGAAAAGAGCUGCUAUUUGCUGAUAUGAGUGAGGAGUAGUCUUGGAGAAAGAAAACCAAGAGUACUGUUUUGAACAAAAUGUUGAAGACUCCUGGUAAAUAUCGAAGUGUAAAUAUCAAAUAGGAAGUCAUAAAUAUGAGAAUCUGGAGUUUAGGAAAGAGAAUCAAUCAAAAGAUCUCAUAUCAGUUUGUAAGAUCUCAUAUCAGUUUGUAAGAUCUCAUAUCAGUCUGAUUCUUAUUUUUUUGUAGAUAAUCUAUGCUUUCUUUCUGUAAAUAUUUAGAAGCAUGAUGUCUAUGUAUGUAUAUAUAUACACACACUCUCCCCUCCCCCCGCCAGGACUGCCUCAGUUUUCAUCUCAGUAUUUGACUAAAAUCUUCUAUUCAACUUCAGUUUCAGCCUUAGAAUAACCAGAUGUCUAAGUCAAUGUCAUUUGGCACAUCUCUAGACUUGUGCAAUCACAAAAGUCACCAUUACCGCUACAUAGUACGUAUUAUGACCAAUGGAUAUCAUUCAGAGUUCUAGUUUACAUAUGCUAUUAUCAAACAUAUAUAAGACUUUUAAUAUAACUUGGGAGUGAAAUUAGUAAAAUUCUAUCAAUGUACAUAAAUUAAUUUUACUAUAAAAAUGAAAUACAUUGAUGUAUGAAAGUUUCUGUA